GGGUUCAAUGUCUCUCGUCACAUUUGGACUUUCCCAUUGAGAGGGUGCAGUUCCCAAGGUCUGGUUUUCAUAGAAGAGUCUUCAUGCAGCUCUUCAAAUAUGCUGUUUCCAGUCAUCGAUAUAGUUCCCCGUGCAUUGGUGAAAGAUACAAUUCCUCAUGAACUGAUGCCUAAGGCCCUACAGCGUACCUGCUACUGCCCAGUCCUAACAGAAGCUCACGCUGAUAUUAGUGAGGAAAAGACACCAGUCCUCAUUAACUGUCUGGUGGCUAACACCCUGCAGC